rnacentral:rRNA from 1 species
UACGGGGGGGGCAAGCGUUGUUCGGAAUUACUGGGCGUAAAGGGCUCGUAGGUGGCCAACUAAGUCAGACGUGAAAUCCCUCGGCUUAACCGGGGAACUGCGUCUGAUACUGGACGGCUUGAGUUUGGGAGAGGGACGCGGAAUUCCAGGUGUAGCGGUGAAAUGCGUAGAUAUCUGGAGGAACACCGGUGGCGAAGGCGGCAUCCUGGACCGGCAUUGACGCUGAGGCGCGAAAGCUAGGGGAGCAAACGGG